UACGGGAGGCAGCAGUGGGGAAUAUUGCACAAUGGGCGCAAGCCUGAUGCAGCCAUGCCGCGUGUAUGAAGAAGGCCUUCGGGUUGUAAAGUACUUUCAGUCGUGAGGAAGGUGUUAAGGUUAAUAACCUUAGCAAUUGACGUUAGCGACAGAAGAAGCACCGGCUAACUCCGUGCCAGCAGCCGCGGUAAUACGGAGGGUGCGAGCGUUAAUCGGAAUUACUGGGCGUAAAAGGCACGCAGGCGGUUAAUUAAGUUGGAUGUGAAAUCCCCGGGCUUAACCUGGGAAUGGCAUUCAAGACUGGUUAGCUAGAGUCUUGUAGAGGGGGUAGAAUUCCAUGUGUAGCGGUGAAAUGCGUAGAGAUGUGGAGGAAUACCGGUGGCGAAGGCGGCCCCUGGGACAAAGGACUGACGCUCAUGUGCGAAAGCGUGGGGAGCAAAC
rnacentral:rRNA from 1 species